CUCGGGCGAGGGAUUGGCCGGGUCUGGGUGAAGGGGAUCACGGCCUGGGGAUUGGAGGGGCACAUCUUCUCCGCACCGAGGAUCUCAGCGACUGCGAGCACGGCUCGGAGACCCACGGUGGUGCAGCGUUGGGGCGCCAGGGCUGCGUUCCCGUCUCGCGUCCCGGACUGAGAAGAAAUACUUUCAGAGCUCUUUCAUUCAUCCUGACAAUGGCCAGAGAAGGUAGGUAUUGGUAGCCUUAUUUUAGAGAUGGGGAAACUGAGGCUGAGAGUAGGUAAGUAAGCUGUCCAAGGGCACUCAGCUAACAAAGGACAGAAGCAAGCCUCCUCACUGUCUACCUCCAAAACCUACACUGGCUUGGAGUUGCUGUCCUGGCCCUCCACUGCCCAUCUCAUGUAGGACGGGAGAGUAUGGGGGGCUGGGGUCCCAUCUAUAGCCUGAAUUUGAGACUUUCAGUUGCUCCUCUCAUUCCCCAUUUAAUUUGUGGGGAUCCCCAACUGACCCCUCCCUACACUUCCAGGGCACUGAGGAGGGAGGGCCCGCUGAAGGAGCCCCGAAUUAUCUCUAGGCCAGGUCAGGAGCCAUUAGUGUCCCCUCCCCUGACAGCAUCCUCCUCCUUCUGCCCUCACAUUCAGAGCCACUGACAAGACUUUAAGCAAGAGACGGAGAGUUAACAUCUAAUCUGGAGGAAGACCCUGGAAGGAGCCAGCCCCUUCCCCCAGGCUGACCUGGUUUAAGCCUUUCUUCUGCCAAGGUCACCAGCACCCCAGAUGGGUGAGAGAUGUGAUCACUGGUUUCGUGGCCUGACCAAGGACCUCCAAGGAGGUAUCUUUCCCAUCUUGGCCCACAGAGGAGGAAAUCCUAGAAGGGAUGACUGAAGCUUGGGACUAACACAUUGGUGGAUCUGUGCUACCCCCUGCUGGCCGUAGACGGUAUGACAGCCAAGAUAGGGCAAGGCUUCGAGGGGCGAUGGAUGGAUUCACCGCAGCGGCGACAUUUCUGGACUGUUGUCACCUUCAGUGCAGUCACUGGGAAUAUUCAGAACCCAGGUGAUUGAUAAGGUUUUCCCAGGGAUCUCUUCUCUCCCCUUCACCAUUACUCAGUAGGAGCUUCCUUAAAAACGGAAAACGAGAGGCCGGGCGCGGUGGCUCACGCCUGUAAUCCCAGCACUUUGGGAGGCGGAGGCGGGCGGAUCACGAGGUCAGGAGAUCGAGACCAUCCUGGCUAACACAACCCCGUCUCUACUUAAAAUACAAAAAAUUAGCCGGGCGUGGUGGCACGCGCCUGUAGUUCCAGCUACUCAGGAGGCUGAGGCAGGAGAAUCGCUUGAACCCGGGAGGCAGAGGAGGUUGCAGUGAGCUGAGAUGGCGCCACUGCACUCCAGCCUGGCCGACUGAGACUCCAUCUCAAAAAAAAAAAAAAAAAAAGGAAAAAGGGGCCGGGCGCGGUGGCUCACGUCUAUAAUCCUAGCACUUUGGGAGACCAAGGCGGGCAGAUCACGAGGUCAGGAAUUUGAGACUAGUGUGGCCAACAUGGUGAAACCCCAUCUCUACUAAAAAUACAAAAAAUUAGCCGGGUGUGGUGGCGCAUGCCUGUAAUCCUAGCUACUCGGGAGGCCGAGGCAGGAGAAUCGCUUGAACCCAGGAGGCCGAGGUUGCAGUGAGCCGAGAUCACGCCAUUGCACUCCAGCCUGGGCGACAGAGCAAGACUCCGUCUUGAGGGAAAAAAAAAAAAAAAAGAAAAAGGGGCCAGGCACCUGUAAUCCCAGCACUUUGGGAGGCUGAGGAGGGAAGAUCGCUAAAACCCAGGAGUUCAAGACCAGCCUGGGCAACAUGGUGAGACCCCAUCUCUACAAAAAAUGCAAAAAAAAAAAAAACAAAAACAAAAAAAAAAACAGCUGGGCAUGAUGGUGCGCACCUGUAGUCCCAGCUACUCGGGAGGCUGAGGUGGGAGGAUUAUUUGAGCCUGAGAGGUCAAGGCUGCAGUGAGCCAAGAUCGCAUCACUGCACUCUAGCCUGGGUAACAGAGCAAGACCCUGCCUCAAAAAAAAAAAAAAAAAAGGAAAAAGGUUAUUACACAGUUCAAAAGAGAAACAAAGUGCAAAAGCAUGUGCAAAGAAAGUAAAGUCCCUCCUGGCCAAGUGCGAUGGCUCAAGCCUGUAAUCUCAACACCCUGGGAGGCUGAAGUGGGUAGAUCAUUUGAGGUCUGGAGUUUGAGACCAGCCUGGCCAACAUGGUGAAACCCCGUCUCUACUAAAAAUAUAAAAAUUAGCUUGGCGUAGUGGCGGGUGCCUGUAAUCCCAGGUACUCGGGAGGCUGAGGCAGGAGAAUCACUUGAACUUGGGAGGCGGAGGGUGCCGCGAGCCAAGAUCACGCCAGUGCACUCUAGCCUGGGCAACAGAGCAAGACUCCAUCUCGAAGGAAGGAAGGAAGGAAGGAAGGAAGGAAGGAAGGAAGGAAGGAAGGAAGGAAGGAAGGGGAAAGAAAGGAAAGAUCUCUUGCCAAUCAGCCUCCCUGUUGCCCUGUUUCCCAUUCCCUCCCCAGAGGCAACCACUCUUAACAGUUUUUUUGUUUUUGUUUUUGUUUUUUUUUAGACAGAGUCUCACUCUGUUGCCCAGGCGGCUGGAGUGCAGUGGUGUGAUCUCAGCUCACUGCGACCUCCGCUUCCCAGAUUCAAGCAAUUCUCCUGCCUCAGCCUCCUGAGUAGCUGGGACUACAGAGCUAUUUGGAGCAUAUGCUGUGUAUAUGUGCGUGUGUGUGUGACACAAAUGAUAGCACACGCUCUACACUGUUCAGCACCUGCUAUUUUCAUGUCAUAAUAUACCUGCCUGUAGAUAGUCAACAUAGUUUUCCAUCGUAUGGUGUGUCACAAUUUAUUUACCAUUCCCCUCCUAGUGGAUAUUUAUGUAUGUCCGCCUUUUAUUACUACAAACAAUGCUAAUUACAGGAAAUAUCUUGGUACAUAUAUUUGCAGACAUAUGUGUGUGUGUGAAAUAAAUUUAUAAGUAUGGCAAUUCUGGGUCAAAGAUUAUGUGCUCUUAAAUGUUUUAUAGGUUUUCACAGAAUUGCCCUCCAAAAAUUUUGUACCAAUUUACAAUCCCCAACAACGGAUGAGAUCACCUGUUUCCCCAAAUCCUCACAAACAGGUUAAUAUCAGGCCUUUUGAUCUUAGGUGAUGACUCUUUAAAAGUCCUGCUCACAGAGCAGUUGAUGAUCUGUCUUUUUCUUUGGGCCGCGGGUUUCUCCAAGGAAGGGACUGUGUCUUUCUCAUACCUACAUCCCCAGUGAAGGACUUGACACCAUCCUUGGGAGUUACUCAAGAAGUGUCUGCUAAAUAUUGAGUGAAAGAAACAGAGCUGCAUUUUGGCAGGCUGGGAGGGAGAGGGUAAAAGGUUAGGUUUGAACAGGAGGCCUGCUUUUUUUUUUUUUUUUUGAGAUGGAGUCUCACUCUGUUGCCCAGGCUGGAGUGCAGUGGCGCGAUCUCAGCUCACUGCAACCUCCAAGGAGGACUGCUCUUUAGGGCCACUUUCUCUUCCAGACCCUGGUCAAGCCUCUGCCCCAAAUCCAAAAGCCUUCCUCUUGCAGGAGCCUCCCAGGUUGCAAGGUCUGAGGUUGAAGGCCCAGAACUCCCAGUGCAGCUUUCACCCAGCUCUGCUGCAUUCCAGGGAUGGGCCCCAUCAUCCCCAAGCUGCCUGAGAACUGGAAACAAACUAGGUGUCCAGCUUUAGGGGAUCAGUUAAACCACUGUCCUAUAGAACUUUCUGCAAUGAUGAAAAUGUUCUCUAUCUGCCCUGUCCAAUAUGGCAGCCACUGGCCACUCGUAGCUACCGAGUAUUCAAGCUGUAGCUAGUUCAACUAAGGAAAUAAAUAAAUGUUACUUAAUUUUAAUUAAUUUCCAUUUAAGUAGCCAUGUGUGGCUACAUAUUGGACAGUGAAGGGUUCAGUAAAUUAUGAUAUAGCCCCACAAUGGAAAACUAUGCAGCUGUAAAAAAAAAAAAUAAUAAGGAUGCCAAGAAAAAUGGAAAGAUCUUCAGGAUAUAUUUUGAAACAAAAAUGUGGUACAGGCUGUGUGCAGUGGCUCACGCCAAUAAUCCCAGCACUUUGGGAGGCCAAGGUGAGAGGCCGAGGCAGGAGGAUCACUUGAGUCCAGGGGUUCAAGACCAGCCUGGUCAACAUAAUGAGACUUCCGUCUCUACAGAAAGUGAAAAAAAAAAAAAAGACAGCAUGGUGGUAUAUGAAUGUAGUCCCAUCUACUCAGGAAGCUGAGGUGGGAGGAUUGCUUGAGCCAGGGAAGUUGAGGCUGCAGUAAGCUGUGAUUGUGCCACCACACUCCAGCCUGUGUGACAGAGCAAGACCCCAUCUAAAAAAAAAAAAAAAGGCCAGGCACGAUGGCUCACACAUGUAAUCCCAGCACUUUGGGAGGCCGAGGACCGUGGAUCACCUGAGGUUGGGAGCUCAAGACCAGCCUGACCAACAUAGAGAAACCUCAUCUCUACUAAAAACACAAAAUUAGCUGGGUGUGGUGGCACAUGCCUAUAAUCCCAGCUACUCAGAAGACUGAGGCAGAAGAACCACUUGAACCCAGGAGGCGGAGGUUGCGGUGAGCCAAGAUAGUGCCAUUGCACUUCAGCCUGGGUAACAAGAGCGAAACUCUGUCUCAAAAAAAAAAAUGUGGUUCAGAACAGUAUACAUAGUAUGUCAUCUUUUUUGAAAGAAAGGCAGGUAGGCCGGGCGCAGUGGCUCACACCUGUAAUCCCAGCACUUUGGGAGGCCGAGGUGGGCGGAUCACGAGGUCAGGAGAUUGAGACCAUCCUGGCUAACGCGGUGAAACCCUGUCUCUACUAAAAAUACAAAAAAUUAGCCGGGCGUAGGUGGUGCACUCCUGUAGUCCCAGCUACUCGGGAGGCUGAGGCAGGAGAAUGGCGUAAAACCCGGGAGGCUGAGCUUGCAGUGAGCCAAGAUCGCGCCACUGUACUUCAGCCUGGGAGACAGAGCGAGAUUCCGUCUCAAAAAAUAAAAAAAAAAGAAAAAGAAAGGCAGGUAGAGGAGGCUGGAUGUGGUGGCUCAUGCCUGUAAUACCAGCACUUUGGGAGGCCAAGGGGGACAGAUCACUUGCAGAAAUGUGAGACCGGCCUGGACAACAUGGUGAAACCCCAUCUCUACACAAAAUACAAAAAUUAGUUGGACGUGGUAGUGCGCACCUGUAGUCCCAGCUACUCAGGAGGCUAAAGUGGGAGGGUUGCUUGAGCUGGGGAAGUCAAGGCUGCAGUGAGCCAAGAUUGCACCACUGCACUCCAGCAGGGGUGACAGAGGGAGACAGCAGGAGUGACAGAGUGAGACCCUGUCUCAAAAAAAAAAAGAAAAGAGCUUUGCACAGUGGUAGUAUCGUAGCCAAUGAAUGAAAGGGAGGUGGAAAUAAAAAUAAAUGUUUAUAUUUGCUUGAAUUUGCAUAGGGAAAGCAAUAACAGUGGGUGACCUAUAGGGAGCUGGGGAAUCCUGUUGCGGGGGUAGGCAAGGACAGGGUGGGAACAGAGCUUUCCAGUGAAUUUCUUUAUAUUUCAUUUUGGUUGUUGAAACAUGUACAUAUAUUACCUAUUCAAAAAGUUAAAUUAAGGUCAGGUGCAGUGGCUCAUGCCCGUAAUCCCAGUACUUUGGGAGGUUGAGGUAGGAGGAUCACUUUACCCCAGGAGUUGGAGACCAGCCUGGGCAAUAUAGUGAGACCUCCUUUCUACAAAAAGUUUACAAAUUAGCCAUAAGCCAGGUGUGAGCCACUGCACCCAACCCAACGCUAUCCUUUCUAUGUAACUCACUAGAGGACAGCCCCAGGGAGUGGACCAGCAAAGACCGCAUGAGCCAUACCCCAGUGACACAGGCUCCCAAACCCGGCCAUGUAUCACAAUCAGAAUCUGGGGGGAGUACGGUCAGGGAUCUGUGUCUUUUAAAGUCCUCCAGGUAAUUCAGUCAGUUACUGACCUGUCCUUGUCAAUGCUUCCCAGUGAAGAGAGUACAGGCUACAUGUCCCAGGUACAUAUCCCUUCCCUUUAG
rnacentral:lncRNA from 1 species